UACGAAGGGUGCUAGCGUUGUUCGGAAUCACUGGGCGUAAAGGGCGCGUAGGCGGCAAGGCAAGUCAGGUGUGAAAGCCCCGAGCUUAACUCGGGAAUUGCAUCUGAAACUGCUGUGCUUGAGUUCUGGAGGGGGUAGUGGAAUUCCCAGUGUAGCGGUGAAAUGCGUAGAUAUUGGGAGGAACACCUGCGGCGAAGGCGGCUACCUGGACAGAAACUGACGCUGAGGCGCGAAAGCUAGGGGAGCGAACGGG
rnacentral:rRNA from 1 species